AUUGAACGCUGGCGGCAGGCCUAACACAUGCAAGUCGAGCGAGCGGCGGACGGGUGAGUAAUGUCUGGGACACUGCCUGAUGGAGGGGGAUAACUACUGGAAACGGUAGCUAAUCCCGCAUAACAUCAGAUGUGCCGAGAUGGGAGUAGCUAGUAGGGGGGGUAAUGGCUCACCUAGGCGACGAUCCCUAGCUGGUCUGAGAGGAUGACCAGCCACACUGGAACUGAGACACGGUCCAGACUCCUACGGGAGGCAGCAGUGGGGAAUAUUGCACAAUGGGCGCAAGCCUGAUGCAGCCAUGCCGCGUGUAUGAAGAAGGCCUUCGGGUUGUAAAGUACUUUCAGCGGGGAGGCGUUACCCGCAGAAGAAGCACCGGCUAACUCCGUGCCAGCAGCCGCGGUAAUUC
rnacentral:rRNA from 1 species